AGAUUGAACGCUGGCGGCAGGCCUAACACAUGCAAGUCGAGCGGUAGAGAGGUGCUUGCAUCUCUUGAGAGCGGCGGACGGGUGAGUAAUGCCUAGGAAUCUGCCUAGUGGUGGGGGAUAACGUUCGGAAACGGACGCUAAUACCGCAUACGUCCUACGGGAGAAAGCGGGGGACCUUAGGGCCUCGCGCCAUUAGAUGAGCCUAGGUCGGAUUAGCUAGUUGGUGAGGCAAUGGCUCACCAAGGCGACGAUACCGUAACUGGUCUGAGAGGAUGAUCAGU
rnacentral:rRNA from 1 species